UACGGAGGGGUGCAAGCGUUGUCCGGAAUCACUGGGCGUAAAGGGCGCGUAGGCGGCUCAUGAAGGCUGUGGUGAAAGUCCGGGGCUCAAACCUCGGAUCGGCCGUGGCGACUCGUGGGCUGGAGCACUGUAGAGGCGAGUGGAAUUCCUGGUGUAGCGGUGAAAAUGCGUAGAUAUCAGGAGGAACACCUGUGGCGAAAAGCGGCUCACUGGACCAUAACUGACGCUGAUGCACGAAAAGCUAGGGGGAGCAAACAGGG
rnacentral:rRNA from 1 species